rnacentral:rRNA from 1 species
GGAUGCGAUCAUAGCAGCACUAAAGCACCGGAUCCCAUCAGAACUCCGAAGUUAAGCGUGCUUGGGUGAGAGUAGUACUAGGAUGGGUGACCUUGUGUUGCAUUCC